rnacentral:rRNA from 1 species
GUGGGGAAUUUUGGACAAUGGGCGCAAGCCUGAUCCAGCAAUGCCGCGUGCAGGAAGAAGGCCUUCGGGUUGUAAACUGCUUUUGUAUGGAACGAAACGGUCCUGGCUAAUAUCCGGGGCUAAUGACGGUACCGUAAGAAUAAGCACCGGCUAACUACGUGCCAGCAGCCGCGGUAAUACGUAGGGUGCGAGCGUUAAUCGGAAUUACUGGGCGUAAAGCGUGCGCAGGCGGUGCUGUAAGACAGGCGUGAAAUCCCCGGGCUCAACCUGGGAAUUGCGCUUGUGACUGCAGUGCUGGAGUGCGGCAGAGGGGGAUGGAAUUCCGCGUGUAGCAGUGAAAUGCGUAGAUAUGCGGAGGAACACCGAUGGCGAAGGCAAUCCCCUGGGCCUGCACUGACGCUCAUGCACGAAAGCGUGGGGAGCAAACAGGAUUAGAAACCCUUGUAGUCC